rnacentral:rRNA from 1 species
UACAGAGGGUGCAAGCGUUAAUCGGAAUUACUGGGCGUAAAGGGCGCGUAGGUGGUUUGUUAAGUGAGAUGUGAAAGCCCCGGGCUUAACCUGGGAAUGGCAUCUUAUACUGGCAGGCUUGAGUAUAUGAGAGGGUAGUGGAAUUUCCGGUGUAGCGGUGAAAUGCGUAGAUAUCGGAAGGAACACCAGUGGCGAAGGCGGCUACCUGGCAUAAUACUGACACUGAGGCGCGAAAGCGUGGGGAGCAAACAGG